GAAGUUCUUAUGAAUUUUUUCUCACGCAAAGCCCUCCUCACGCCCUACUUUAAUGCGCCAAAUGAGUGGAUAAGGAUGAUUGGUUGGCCAUUCAAAUUCAAAACAAAGUUUGAAUUUGAAUGAGCAACCAAUCUUAGCACCUUGACCUUAUCCUCUUUUAACGCCCCAUUUAUUACAUGAGAAAAUAUUUCUCAUGAAAUCACUCAUGCACAAAUUAAUCCACGCCCUCCUCUUCUCACGUCCUUAGUGGAUAGGAAUAAAUUGAUUUCCAUUUGAAUUCAAAAUUUGAUUUGAAUUCAAAUGUGCAAUUUCUCAUCUUUAUCCUCUCACGUGGAUAAGACGUUUGACAUUAUUUUAAAAGGAGGAGAAGAG
rnacentral:lncRNA from 1 species